GAUGAACGCUGGCGGCGUGCUUAACACAUGCAAGUCGAACGGGAAACCUUUUAAUGAAGCUUCGGCAGAUUUAGCUGGUUUCUAGUGGCGGACGGGUGAGUAACGCGUGGGUAACCUGCCUUAUACAGGGGGAUAACAGUCAGAAAUGACUGCUAAUACCGCAUAAGCGCACAGGACCGCAUGGUCCGGUGUGAAAAACUCCGGUGGUAUAAGAUGGACCCGCGUUGGAUUAGCUUGUUGGUGGGGUAACGGCUCACCAAGGCGACGAUCCAUAGCCGGCCUGAGCGGGUGAACGGCCACAUUGGGACUGAGACACGGCCCAGACUCCUACGGGAGGCAGCAGUGGGGAAUAUUGCACAAUGGGGGAAACCCUGAUGCAGCGACGCCGCGUGAAGGAAGAAGUAUCUCGGUAUGUAAACUUCUAUCAGCAGGGAAGAUAGUGACGGUACCUGACUAAGAAGCCCCGGCUAACUACGUG
rnacentral:rRNA from 1 species